GCCAAGGUAGCUUAGUGGCUAAUGCACCUGCCUAGUAAGCAGGAGACCCAGGUUCGAUUCCCGGCCUUGGUA